GACGAACGCUGGCGGCGUGCUUAACACAUGCAAGUCGAACGGAAAGGCCCUGCUUUUGUGGGGUGCUCGAGUGGCGAACGGGUGAGUAACACGUGAGUAACCUGCCCUUGACUUUGGUAUAACUUCAGGAAACUGGGGCUAAUACCGGAUAGGAGCUCCUGCUGCAUGGUGUGGGUUGGAAAGUUUCGGCGGUUGGGGAUGGACUCGCGGCUUAUCAGCUUGUUGGUGGGGUAGUGGCUUACCCAGGCUUUGACGGGUAGCCGGCCUGAGAGGGUGACCGGCCACAUUGGGACUGAGAUACGGCCCAGACUCCUACGGGAGGCAGCAGUGGGGAAUAUUGCACAAUGGGCGGAAGCCUGAUGCAGCAACGCCGCGUGCGGGAUGACGGCCUUCGGGUUGUAAACCGCUUUCGCCUGUGACGAAGCGGGAGUGACGGUAAUGGGUAAAGAAGCACCGGCUAACUACGUG
rnacentral:rRNA from 1 species